CCCUGGCUAGCUCUGCUGGUAGAGCCUGAGACUCAUAAUCUCAGGGUAGUGGGUUUGUUUCCCACGUCGGGCG
rfam:Lepisosteus oculatus linkage group LG9, whole genome shotgun sequence.